AUUGAACGCUGGCGGAAUGCUUUACACAUGCAAGUCGGGCGGCAGCGCGGGGGGCAACCCUGGCGGCGAGCGGCGAACGGGUGAGUAAUACAUCGGAACAUGUCCAGUCGUGGGGGAUAACCUGGCGAAAGCCAGGCUAAUACCGCAUGCGCUCGGGAGAGGAAAGCGGGGGACCGUAAGGCCUCGCGCGAUUGGGUUGGCCGAUGUCCGAUUAGCUAGUUGGUGGGGUAAAGGCCUACCAAGGCGAUGAUCGGUAGCUGGUCUGAGAGGAUGAUCAGCCACACGGGGACUGAGAGACGGCCCAGACUCCUACGGGAGGCAGCAGUGGGGAAUUUUGGACAAUGGGGGAAGCCCUGGUCCAGCCAUUCCGCGUGAGUGAAGAAGGCCUUCGGGUUGUAAAGCUCUUUUGUCCGGAGCGAAACGGGUAACGGGAAUAUCGUUGCCUACUGACGGUACCGGAAGAAUAAGCACCGGCUAACUACGUGCCAGCCGCCGCAGUAAUAC
rnacentral:rRNA from 1 species